CGUGUAGGCGGCCAGAUAGGUCAGCUGUGAAAACUCGAGGCUCAACCUCGAGAUGUCGGCUGAAACCAUCUGGCUAGAGUCCGGAAGAGGAGAAUGGAAUUCCCGGUGUAGCGGUGAAAUGCGCAGAUAUCGGGAAGAACACCCGUGGCGAAGGCGGUUCUCUGGGACGGUACUGACGCUGAGACGCGAAAGCGUGGGAGCGAACA
rnacentral:rRNA from 1 species